GGUGGUGCAUGGUUGUCGUCAGCUCGUGUCGUGAGAUGUUGGGUUAAGUCCCGCAACGAGCGCAACCCUCGUUCCAUGUUGCCAGCGGGUUAUGCCGGGGACUCAUGGGAGACUGCCGGGGUCAACUCGGAGGAAGGUGGGGACGACGUCAAAUCAUCAUGCCCCUUAUGUCUUGGGCUUCACGCAUGCUACAAUGGCCGGUACAAAGGGUUGCGAUGCUGUGAGGUGGAGCUAAUCCCAAAAAGCCGGUCUCAGUUCGGAUUGAGGUCUGCAACUCGACCUCAUGAAGUCGGAGUCGCUAGUAAUCGCAGAUCAGCAACGCUGCGGUGAAUACGUUCCCGGGCCUUGUACACACCGCCCGUCAAGUCACGAAAGUUGGUAACACCCGAAGCCGGUGGCCUAACCCUUUUGGGGGGGAGCCGUCGAAGGUGGGACCGGCGAUUGGGACUU
rnacentral:rRNA from 1 species